rnacentral:rRNA from 1 species
GAUGAACGCUAGCGGCAGGCCUAACACAUGCAAGUCGAGGGGUAGAGGAAGCUUGCUUCCUUGAGACCGGCGCACGGGUGCGUAACGCGUAUGCAAUCUACCUUUUACAGAGGGAUAGCCCAGAGAAAUUUGGAUUAAUACCUCAUAGUAUUUUCGAAUGGCAUCAUUUGAUUAUUAAAGUUUCAACGGUAAAAGAUGAGCAUGCGUCCUAUUAGCUAGAUGGUAAGGAAACGGCUUACCAUGGCAACGAUAGGUAGGGGGCAUGAGAGGGAGGUCCCCCUAACUGGUACUUACACAAGGACCAGACUCCUGCUGGAGGCAGAAGUAAGGAAUAUUAGACAAUUGUCGCAAGCCUGAUCCAGCCCUGCCGCGUGCAGGAAGACGCAUCUAUGGUGUGUAAACUGCUUUUGUACGGGAAGAAACACUCCCUCGUGAGGGAGCUUGACGGUACCGUAAGAAUAAGGAUCGGCUAACUCCGUGCCAGCCGCCGCAGUAAGAC